CGAAUGAUAAGAAUCUAAGGGGCAUGCGCCGUAUGCCCUCCUUACGGUGUUUGCUAAGAGGAGGGCGCUCCUAGGGCUGUUCCGCUCUGUUUUUCCCUCGCUUACUUUGCCCGGGAAAAAUUGCAGCACUACGGAUUGUGGGGGCUCGGCAAUCGGCCGGCCCAUGAAGACUUGCGUGCCGCCGAUUUCAACGCCCCUGUGAUCGGGCUUUUGGCGCCCGGGACGCGAUGUCGAGAAGCAGGCAGAGCAUCGCGUGUUUUAUCGGCGGUUGUUGUUGCUGAUCUAUGGCAACGCAAAAAACAUGCUUUUCCUCACUCCUCGGCGGUGGUUGGCCUGUUUGUCUUUCACCAGAGGUCGGCGGUUAUUUCGGUUUGGUCGAAUACCGUUGCACUUUCCACAAGAAUUUCUUUGUUUUUUGGCAUCCUGCUGAUAUCCUUGUCUCGGGUAUUCGCGUCUCUGCAAGGGGAGGGGGGGGGUUGUUCGUUGCGUUGCUGGAAGGUCUGCAAUCUGCGCUGGUUAAUCCAAACCUGGUUUUGUGCUUCGCUCGCUUUAGGGGUCGAAUAAUGUUUCUGUGUCGAGUCGAUCGGAUGUCUUUUGGCUUCUCUCCUCAUUGUGUUCUUUGGGUUGUCGCUGCCACGAAACAAGUGUUGUUUCACGAGGGGUGGUGAGCGUUUCCUUGUGUUCGGCGGUGGGGUAGCCGCAAAUCUUCGUUUCGCGAUGGUUGAUGGAUUCGCGGGCUUUCAUCACAUUGCGGGUAAGGGGGUGCAAAUAAGACGAUGGUGGGUCAGCGAGCGCAUGACAGGAUUCAGGCUUUCGGGGCAUGGCACUGCCAGCACCACAGGGGGUGAAAUGCUUCGGGUGCGUGAAUGUUCGAUUGCAAGCUCUUUGCUGGAGCAGGGGGGCGCCAGCUGCUUAGCCAAGUCGCAUUAUUUUUGGUGAGAUGUUCAUGGGGUUGGGAUCAUGGUACUCAGCCAAAUGGUUGCAAUCUGCGCUGCUUGCUUAAGUGGUGUCAACGUUCG
rnacentral:misc_RNA from 1 species